rnacentral:rRNA from 1 species
CAGUCGCCGCGGUAAUACGUAGGUGGCAAGCGUUGUCCGGAAUUAUUGGGCGUAAAGGGCUCGCAGGCGGUUUCUUAAGUCUGAUGUGAAAGCCCCCGGCUCAACCGGGGAGGGUCAUUGGAAACUGGGAAACUUGAGUGCAGAAGAGGAGAGUGGAAUUCCACGUGUAGCGGUGAAAUGCGUAGAGAUGUGGAGGAACACCAGUGGCGAAGGCGACUCUCUGGUCUGUAACUGACGCUGGGGAGCGAAAGCGUGGGGAGCGAACAGGAUUAGAUACCCGCGUAGUCCCUGUCUCUUAUAC